GGCCUGGCGGACGGCUCGGCCGCGUGGCCGGCGGGAGCCUCGCGGCUGGUGACUGGCUGGCGGGAAGUUUGUGCGGCGGCCCAGCUGGCGGUGCUCUGCGUUCUGGCUCCCCGCGCACGCUGCCUUCGGUGCAGCUGUCUCGGGGCGUCCUUCCCGGGCCCAGUAACCUGUCGCUGCGUCUGACUUGGGGGCACCCUCAUCCUUCCUCUGUCCCCAGAGUCUACAGCCUUGGGUGCGGGCAUCAUGGAGGGUGACCUGUCUGGCUUUAACAUUGAUACCCCCCGCUGGGACCAGCGCUCGUUCCUGGGGCGCCUGAAGCAUUUCUUGAGCAUCACAGACCCCCGGACCAUCUUGCAGCCAGAGCAGGAGCUGGACUGGGCCAAGGCGAUGGUGGAGCAGAGCAGGAUGGGGGUCAUGCCCCCAGGCACCCAAGUGGAGCAACUGCUGUAUGCUAAGAAGCUGUAUGACUCGGCCUUCCACCCCGACACUGGGGAGAAGAUGAACAUGAUCGGGCGGAUGUCCUUCCAGGUCCCCGGUGGCAUGAUCAUCACAGGUUUCAUGCUCCACUUCUACAGCUUCCCUGUGGAUACUGCACUAAGGACAUUCGGUUCUACAGAUGGGACUCUACAGGGGCUCAGUGAUUUGUCCAGAUUCACACAGACUGUGCCAGCGGUGAUCUUCUGGCAGUGGGUGAACCAGUCCUUCAACGCCUUGGUCAACUACACCAACAGGAAUGCGGCGUCCCCCACAUCGGUCAGGCAGAUGGCCUUCUCCUACCUCACAGCCACGACCACUGCAGUGGCCACUGCUGUGGGCAUGAACAUGUGGACAAAGAGAGCUCCUCCCUUGGUGUGCCGCUGGGUGCCCUUCGCUGCCGUGGCUGCUGCGAACUGUGUCAAUAUCCCAAUGAUGCGACAGCAGGAACUCAUCCAGGGCAUCUCUGUGAAGGACAAGAACCAGAAUGAGGUUGGCCAUUCCCAGAGAGCUGCGGCCCUAGGCAUCACCCAAGUGGUUAUUUCCCGGAUUGCCAUGGCGGCUCCUGGCAUGAUCUUGCUGCCGGUCAUCAUGGAAAGGCUGGAGAAACUAGACUUCAUGAAGAAAGCCAAAGUGCUGCAUGUGCCACUGCAGGUCACGCUGUGUGGAUGCUUCCUCCUCUUCAUGGUGCCAGUGGCGUGUGCACUCUUCCCACAGACAUGGUAUUGCUUCUUUGUUCCUGCUUCCUUUUAUUGACUGCACUGCCACUGCUCCCCUGAGCCUCAGCAGAGGGAUGGGACAGCAAGGGCAGCACUCUGGGCCCUUUCACCCUGUGAGUUGCCUGUCUCCUGUCUGGAACGAGAGCUCCGGGACACUGUCAAGGCCAAGGUUGGAGAAUCCUCACCCUACGUCUACUUCAACAAGGGUCUCUGAAUGCCGAUGGCGGCGAGGACCGGGCUGCCCACACCCUGCUCUGCUGUGUGCCCGGGCUCACAUUCCUCCUUGCAGCAUGGCUGAGCCAGGCGGGGCAGGCACCACUCACUUCCACCAACCACCUCCUUUCCCGGAUUCCAGGGGAUCAUGGAAAAAGGGACCGAGACCACAAUCUUCUCUCUGCCCCCGCCUUGGCCUUGGUGGGAAGCAGCUGCUGGUCCCUGUGGGCGGGCAGAGGGGGAGACAGUCAGCCGAGCGACAGUCAAGUCACUUGGAAGACGUAGGAAGCCUUUAGGGUUCUAGCCCAGCCAGGACAGGGUUAAGACCUAGGAUGAGAGGAGCCUGCGUCCUCCCUUCUCCCAGUCCCAGCAGCGGGACCUUUACCCUGGCAGGCCAGCCUGACUCACAAGGGAGGAGGGGAGGGCAGGCUCCUGUUCCCGUCCUCUCCCAGUCAGUGCUUCCAGCCCCAUCCACUGACAUUGACUGUUCAGCCAGCUCUCUGGGAGGCUGAGGCAGGAGGAUCACAAAUUUGAGCCCAGCUUGGGCAAUUUACUGAGACUUUCUCUCAAAAAAGGGCUGGGGGGCCAGGGAUUUAGCUCAUUGGUUCCAGCCCCUGCCUUGCAAGUGUAAGGUCCUUAGUUUGAUCCCCAGUACCAAAAAAAAAUAUGGCUGGGGUUGUACCUCGGUGUAGUGGCCCUGGGUUCAAUCCCCAGCACUGGGGAAAAAAUCAUGACUGGGUCCAUUUUGGGGAUCUUCUCUGUGAUGAUGGAAGCCUCCUCAUUCCCUCACUGUGAGUGAGAAGGGUGGAUGUAGGCACUGACUUCAAGGUCAUGGGUGUAAUCUGGCUGCCGCCCCUCCCCAGCCCCUUAGACACCGAAGAACCCCUGGGGUUUGCUGGCCGGGAGAGGGAAGGUCACCGCGGACACUUCCAGGAGAAAACCAGGGGACCAAGGACCCUUAGGGAGUGGCUUCCUCGUUGGAGGGUAGGACGCUCUGGAGCCUGGUCAGUGUGUGACUUGUGGAGGAUACUGCUGCUCAGAGUUGUCACCAGGCUGGCAGAGUGCUUGAAAGAGCUCGAAGAUCUGCAGACUGAGUAAGGAAGCCUGGAUGGAGCACAGAACCUUGGCCGAGGCCUGUCAGGAUGUCACAACUCCUUGAAUUAGAGGCCGGGCAUGGUGGCGCAUGCCUGUAGUUCCCGCACUGGGGAGGCUGGGGCAGGAGAAUUACCAUGACUUUGAGGCCAGCCUGAACUGCACAGCAAGACCCUGUCUCAAAAAAAUUUCUCUAAGGGCUGUGGGUUUAGCUCAGUGGUUUCGCCGCCUGCUGUGCAAGUGCAAGGACCCGAGUUUGAUCCUGGGUACCAAAAAAAAAAAAUUUCUCUAAGGGGGAAAGAGUCCCCCUGUCUGUGGGGUGCUCCAAAUGUGUUCCAGAGUCGGACCCAUGUCCUAGGGCUGGAGUUGGCCAGCCAGGGCACAGGAGGCCAAAUUUGGGAGCUAAGAAUAGCUUCACAUCUCUAAAGGGUUACAGAAGAAAAGCCCCAUGUGAUGGUGCAUAACCCAUGAGUCUAGUACUCUGGCAGGCCAAAGCAAGGGAGGAUCAAGAGUUUGAGCCUAGCCUGGGCAGCUUAGCCACUUAGGGAGACCCUCUUUGAGGCUGGGAAUGUAGUUUAGUGCGCCCAAGUUUUCCAGGUGGACUCCACAGUACCUCAGAAUCCUCCUGCCUCAGUUUCCCAGGGACCACACACAGGUGUUAACCACCACACCUGGUUUGUGGGGUGGCUGCUCUAGGGGAAAAGGUCUUGAUGGCAAACACCUAGUCCCUCAAUAUUACCCAAGCGACUACACUUGUAAUCUAUUGGUUGAUUAUAGUUUUUACCCAUGUUGUACCUACCCCUCGUGACUUAGCGCUACAAAACUUCCUUUGAGAAGUGGGCUCCUCAUCCCACUUGGGACCCCUUCUGUCUCAGGAACUGUUCUUAUUCCCCAUUUCUAUUCUCCAAUAAAUUUUCUACUCUUAA